UACAGCUUCACACACUUCAGAGGAUAGUUCACAAGUAAACUGUAUGUAAGCCUAAAUCCUCCCCCUUUGGGUCAAAGCACAGCUCACUUUGGGGAUCAUUAAGCCCAAAUAUAAUAGUAAGGCAUGUCUGGAUGUCUUACUUGCUUUUGGUGGAUUUCUGUAACACUGCGGAGGUGAAAGGCAGGUGUUCAUUAAGGGUUUUAUUCAGCUCUCAGGUAUGUGGAUGUAAAUAGCACUUUCUUUUCACUAUGCCUCCAUCUUUAUGUUAUGGACAGAACAGGCAGAGAGAAGGGAUGAUGUAUAGGAAACAUGUCCUCGUUCAUGGAGAAGCUCUGCACACUAAAUCUGACAAUGGAUCACCUGACAGCAGUUGAGGCUUUCACAUUUUUGUUCUUCAUCCAAUAAGCAGACAGAAUGUAUGUAUCAGAGUUAACCGAUUACAACAAAACUGCAUUUUCAGGGUAGGUUUUAGCAUUGAGUAUUCCUUUAGCAGCCGAACUAACAAGCCUGAAACACUUGCCUGCUCUCCAGUGAAUCAGGAGUCCAAAGUUGUUACUGACACCAGAUAACCAAGUAGAGGUGUUGAACAGAAGAUGCAGCCCUAAUGAUAUUUACUGAUACUAUUGAAAGAACAUGGAUUUGUGGUUUUGUUGGGGUUUUUUUGGCUUGAAGAAUGCAGAAUAUCUACAAAAAACUUGGCAUAAAACAGGCUUCUCCCUUCCACAUCUCCAUUUCAAGAACUCAAAUUACCAGAAAACUUCUCAUUUCGGAAGCUAGAUGAGGAAGCACUGUUCUUGAAAUGUAGACCUAAAUAAGAGUUUUGUUCAUUCAAAUUUCCAUAUUCUGAUGGUUACUACCCAACAAUUCCAAACACUAAGGAGGCUCCCCAUUGAACCAAGGAGAAGCUGCAAUACAAGACACAUUAUUUAUAUUAAAUACUUCUUGUAUAAAAUGCUACUUUAAUUCAGUUUGACAAGGAUAAGAACAAGAUGCACUCUACCCACAGGAGAAAAGAACAGCAACCAAAGACCAAAAUUAGAUUGUAACAGAAGUUAUUACUCAGACUGAGUGAGAAUAAGUUAAAUGUAAAAACUAGUGCCAGUAAAUUGUGUUCUUCUUUCGUAUGGCUUGAGUAGGUAGCAACAACUAGAAAUUAGUAAAA